GCUUAUGGCCACACCAGCCUGAUCUUGGAAACUAAGCAAGUCUGGGCCAGGUUAGCACUUGGAGGGGAGCCCACCAGGGAAUACCGGUAUCUGGAGGCU
rnacentral:rRNA from 1 species